rnacentral:rRNA from 1 species
UACGGAGGGUGCAAGCGUUAUCCGGAUUUAUUGGGUUUAAAGGGUGCGUAGGCGGCUUUGUAAGUCAGUGGUGAAAUAUGGCAGCUCAACUGUCAAGGUGCCAUUGAUACUGCGGAGCUUGAGUACAGAUGAGGUAGGCGGAAUUGACGGUGUAGCGGUGAAAUGCUUAGAUAUCGUCAAGAACACCUAUAGCGAAGGCAGCUUACUAGGCUGUAACUGACGCUGAGGCACGAAAGUGUGGGGAUCAAACAGG